GACAGGUGGUGCAUGGUUGUCGUCAGCUCGUGUCGUGAGAUGUUGGGUUAAGUCCCGCAACGAGCGCAACCCUCGACCUUAGUUGCCAGCAUUCAGUUGGGCACUCUAAGGUGAACUGCCGGCUAAAAGUCGGAGGAAGGUGGGGAUGACGUCAAAUCAUCAUGCCCCUUAUGACCUGGGCUACACACGUGCUACAAUGGGCGGUACAAAGGGUCGCGAACCCGCGAGGGGGAGCCAAUCCCAAAAAGCCGCUCUCAGUUCGGAUUGCAGGCUGCAACUCGCCUGCAUGAAGCCGGAAUCGCUAGUAAUCGCGGAUCAGCAUGCCGCGGUGAAUACGUUCCCGGGCCUU
rnacentral:rRNA from 1 species